CCUAGCCCUUCAUGGGGCUAGGUUCCGGGGGCAGCUUCCCAGAAAGUGCCUGCCGAGGCUGCCUUGUGGCCACUGCCAGGCCAGCCGCCCUCCUUUGCCUUUCUCCAUCCCCCUUUCUCCCCUUUCUCCUCUGUAGAGACCCAGGAAAGGCAGAUCUUGAGCUCCCAGGAGAAGAUCAUUAGGCACUGCCCAGGACCCAAAGAGAAGGAUCUUGCCAGGACCCCAGCUACCUACCCCACACCCUAACAGAGUCAGCCAGUCCCUGGUCCAUUAACCCACACUUUCUCAGCACCCACUCUCUGAAAGGCAAGGACUUGCUGUCAGGGAGAGCACGGGGUUCAGGGUCUAGGGCACGAGCAGCUCGGAAGCUCUCAGUGCUGGUCCUGGAAGCUGUGGCACUGGAUGAGACCUCCCCGUUUAUCUGCCCACAAUCUAGGGCUCCUGCUUAGGAUGCUGCAGCCCAGAGGAGAAGAUGGACUUGCCCAUGUCACACAGAGAGUUCACUGCAGCCAGGGAGCUGUGGGACUAGAGACACACAGGACCCUAUCAAACAUCUCAACAGGGCGUGGACCAAGCAGUAAGAACCACUCAACCAGUCAGGUCCUGAGCUCCUAACCACCUGCUUCCUCAUUGGGGGACCUCAGGCAAGUCAUUUAACCUCUCAAAGCUUCCAUUUGUGCAGCGUGUCCCAAUGAAGACGAAAUGAAGAUUCCCUCAAAUGCCUAGACACUAUGCCUGGCACCUAGUGAAGCAUUCAAUACAUGGUAGCCACUGUUAUUCAAGAGCUUCCUGGCAUGCCCACACAAGUAGAGCAAACUGAAAUGACUCUGUCAGCCCCGGUGUGACAUCUUCCCUCCCUACCCCUCCUCCGCCACUACCACCCUGUAGUUAGUUAGAACCCCCCUUGGGUGUUUUCUAGAGAUGGGAUUUUGCACUUAUUCUGGGUUACAGAACUAUAACAAAAGCAAGUUUUAGUUCAAUGAUAAAAAGCAAAAAGCGACCGGGCAUGGUGGCUCACGCCUGUAAUGCCAACACUUUGGGAGGCCCAGGUGGGUGGAUCACCUGAGGCCAGGAGUUUGAGACCAGCCUGGCCAACAUGGUGAAACCCUGUCUCUACUAAAAAUACAAAAAAUUAGCCCGACUUGGUGGUGCACACCUGUGCAGCUACUUGGGAGGCUGAAGCAGCAGAAUCACCUGAACCCGGGUGUCAGAGGUUACAGUGAGCCGAGAUCACUGCACUCCUGGGCAACAGAGCCAGACUUCAUCUCAAAAAAAAGUGCAAAAAGCUACUUUGAGAGGUAGUGAGCUCCUGAUCACAUGUAAACAAGGUGACCCGGAUGAUCACUUGGCACUAAUGCCCUGGAGCAUGAAUCAACAAUCAACAUGUAUUAAUAUUUCUUGCGACACAAUUGUAUUAUAAUUCCCCUUAAUGAAGUAGUGGCGCCAGUAGGCUGUAGUGCUUUAGUGACCUUUCAGCAACAGAAAGUUGGCUGUCCUACAUUGGCCUUCCAGAAAGCUUUUAUGAAAUUGUACAGGCUUGCGAUACCCAGAUUCUGAACCCCCACUUUCAAAGGCCCCGCUUCCUGGGUAGAAGAUUCAAAGCCCCUUGCACAGACACCUGCAUAGCCCUUUGUUUGGUACCCGAUUUAGACCAUCUCUUGUGCAAGAUUCCCCGAAUCUAAAACAGGACUCAGAUCCAUCAGCAGCAAACCAAGGUAGGCUGAUGCAAAGCCAGCACUGAAGAGGCACUUUGACCGCAAGUGCCACCUGGGUUGGGCUGGGGAAGGGGACCAGUGAAGUGUCGCUGACGUCCCAGCAGACAAUAGAGAAUGCUGCAGAGUAGAACCUGGACUCUGCAAUCUCUACGGCCCAAAACAGCAUGUGGGAAGCAGCCAGGAGGUGGCCAAGUCCCUCUGACCACCACUGACAUUCAUCCCCGACUUUCAUCACCCCUCCAGGGCCUCACCCCAGGAAACUCCUCCUGGAAUUAAAUCUGGCAGAGUUACAGUAGGUUUGGGAUUAUCGCCAAGCGGGUUGUUGGCAAGAACCAGAGGGAUCCAGAUUCUUGGGGCUAACUUUCCCCAUCCAUCCAUCCCCUAAUCCGGUCUUCCAAUCACCCGAGAUGUAAUUCCCUUUCCUCGAUCCUACAAGCUUUUGAAUUAUCACCCACAGGGUUCCGGUAGGUUGUUCCCCAUUACAAAUUCAAGACACAGGAGGGAGGGAGCGAGGUCUUGGUAGCUGCAGGUCUUUCCAGCACUUGAAGACUAGGGCUGUUCUACGUCUCUCUCUUUUGGGGCCCAUGUCUCCCCCUCCUCCAAGAGCGGGGCUGGGAAGACGCCAACUCAACGGAACUGGGAUGAAUACUCCUCCCGCUCCCUCCAAGCAGCAGAAGAAAAAGGAGUUGGAAGACAACAUGGUAUCAAGUGUACAUUUUAAAAAUCAUUUAAUGGAACAUAAACUCCUUUAGAAAAACAUUCUGCUAGGUGAUAACACCCAUAGAAAAAAACACCAAUUUUGUGUUUAUCUUUUUUAAUUUGGCAUUUGUUAUUUGCAUUUAUAUUAAAGCAAAGUGCAUCUUUUCUUUUUCUUGUUUAUACACAUUGCACAAUACAUAAAUAAUGAUGCUUAUAAAACGUCUUUAUAUUUACAAGUAAUAAUAUAUUUAUAUAUAACAUAAAAUACAUUUUUUUCUUUAAUAAAUCUCAGGGUUUUUUUUUUUUUCAGGAGUCCUUUCUCUCUCAAAGCACUACAAUGCUAAAUUUCCAAUGAGAAUGCUUCUCUUGUUCAUUUAAACCUUUGUAGUUAGAAAAAUAGCUUAUGUUAAAGUCUAAACAUGCUCAUUGAGCUAAGAACAGUG
rnacentral:lncRNA from 1 species